AGGAGGCGCGGGGAGAUGGGACACAGGCCUGGGGUCAGGCCCUCGGACAUGUUCAACUUGGAAGUACCCCUCCCGGCCCCCACCUUGGAGCUGUUUUCAGUGCCGUAAUCCUGGGUUCUGGCAUCAGAGCCGUUGCCAUGGGGACCUCGGCGAUUCAGCAUUUUGAUGAUGGGUUCAGUGGGGAAGAAGGGGAGAGGAGGGGGAGGCGAGAGGGAGGGGGGAGGGGGGCGGAAGUCUCGGGUUCUCUGGAUGGGGGAUGAGGAGGAAGUGGGAAGGGGGUAUAUUCCUUGCCCUCAGCUGAUGUAACAAACUGCCAACCACUGGGUAGCUUGAAAUAACAGAAAUGGAUCCUCUCCUGCAUCUGGAGGACAGACAUCCAAAAUCAAGGUCUCAGGUGAGCUUGGCUCCUACUGGAGGCUAAGGGAGCAUCUGUCCUGGGCCUGUCUCCUGGCUUCUGAUGUUGCCAGGGAUCCCUGGUGACUGUCCUUUGCCUGGUAGAGGUGUCACCCCCAUCUGUCUCCGUCUUCGCAUGGCCUCCUCCCGGCGUCCCUGUGUGUCUGCUCCUUUUCUGUCUCUCCAAGGACACUCGUCUUUUGAUCUAGGACCCACCCUAAAUCCAGGAUGACCUCAUCUCCGGGUCUUCAAUGACAUCUGCAGCAGCUCUUUUCCCGAAUAAGCUCACCUUCAUAGGUUCCAGGGAUUUGGAACUUGGGCAGGUCUUUUUGAAGAACACUUGGAUGGGGUGGGCAGUUCUGCUGGGAAUUUGCCUCUUUGCACCCCUCGACCAAUCUGUACCUCUCUUUUCCUCUCCCUCUCUCUCCCUCUCUCCCCCUCUCUCUCUUUCUCUCUCAGCCAUGUGUGGGGUGUCAGGGAAAUGCGUCAUCUCUGUGUCUCAGUUUCCCCAGCUGUAAACUGGCCGAGAUAAUCAUUCCUUCUUCCAGGGCUGACAUGAGCAACACAGAACACAGAGCUUGAAGUCUGGGAAGCCCUCAGAACAGUGCUCAGCACAUACCUACCACUGAGUAGGCCCUGGGGAUCAUGAACAAAAUCAUAAAUAUCCCUGCCUCCUGAAGCUGAUGUCCUAGGAAAGAUGGAACCAGGGCCAUAAACAGUGGACCAAUACAGAAGAAAGGAUACAGCAUGUUGGAAGGUGAUAAAUGCCAAAGAUAGGAGGAAAGUAGCUGGAAAGGGGGGAUAAAGAAAGAGUCCGGCGUUCCCGUCGUGGCUCAGUGGUUAACAAACCCUGCCCCCUAGGUCUAGGUUGAUCCUCGGAGCCUUGAAGUGGGGAUGGCCCUUUAGAGGUCACGCAGACGGGAGCAAGGAGGCUGAGCCUUUGCACCCCUGGGGAGGAGGUCCAACCUGGGGCAUCAGCCAUCAACACUCCCAGCAACUAGGGGGUGGAGAAUGUGUUGGCCCCGGAGAGGUCCUGGCUGCAUGCUGGCACACCCAGCACAGGUGAGAGGACCAGCUGAGAGGGAUGACGUACAUGAAAUUGGAAAAUUGCUGGGCCCUUGAAGGAUGCUAAAAAAAAAAAAUUGGGAUUGGUAGGAUUCUGAAAGGUGAUGCUCCCUCCCCUGGGAAAGAGUUUCUUCCCUUGCCAUCCAGGACCUCACAUGUUCUCAUUUCCCCUCCUGCGUCCCUGGCACCAUGGCUGGUUCCUCCUCAUCCCCCGACCUUUAAAUGCAGGUGUGCUUCUAGACACAGUCCUUGGACCACUUUUCUCCGCCAAUUAUGCACUGUCUCAUCCAUUCUCAAGCCUUUAAAUACCAUUUAUAAGCUGAAGACUCUUAAAAUUUUAUCUCCAGCUUGGACCUUGUAUUGAACUCCAGACUCAUAUAUCCAACUGCCUACUCGAUAUCUCUCUCUACUUAUAUGUCUAAUAGGCUGUGGCCACCGUGGGAAUGCGCCGCUCACACCUCUGGUUACAGGAAUGGGGUAGCUGACAUCCCUGGACCCAGCCUCACGCCCACUGAGCCAUGCAUCCUGCUCAGCAUCUCCUGGGGUGAGUGAGAGAGAAGCCAGUACACAACAGGUUCAUUCUUAUGGGAUGUGAACACCCUUGAUGAGUGAUUUUGGCUCGAGGAUGCCCCCCCAGUGGCCUGGCUGAACCAGUCUUAGAACUGCGCUGUGUCUCUGGGAUCUCCCUCCCAGGUCCUCCUUCUCACUUGCUCUCUUGUCACAGGACACAACCCUGCAUCACCCUGUGGGAUCUCCCCACCUACCACUGCCCCCCUGCCCAAUCCCUCACAGCCAUUACCCCUGGAAGUCUCUUGCCUGAUCUGGUCCUGUCUCUGGAGACAGUCCUCUCUCUAGUCCUCCAAGGAGCCUGCCCCAUCUCAAACUUCAAAUGUUCUAAACCAGAGGAACCAACUCCCUUUCCCCUCUAAAUACCCCCAGUCUUCAUCUUAAUACAUGACGACAAUCUUCAGUUGUUCAAGUUAAAAAACAGUGGUAAAUUAGGGGCUAGGGACUGAUAUAGACACACAAUUAUAUAUAAAAUAGCUAACAAGGACCUAUGGUAUAGCAUGGGGAAAUUUACUCAAUACUGUAUAAUAAUCUAAGUGGGAAAAGAAUCUGAAAAGGAAUGGAUAUAUGCAUAUGCAUAACUGAUUUACUUGGCUGUAUGCCUGAAAUUAACACAACUUUGUAAGUCAACUAUAUUCCAAUAAGACAAAAUUUUAAAAACCCCGAUGCACCAAAACCUGUUGGCUUCCACUUCAGAGCCUCUCCAGAGCUGGAUGUGCCUGGCUCUCCACCGCUCCUGCACCAGCCCAAGCUGACGUCAUCUCCCAUCUGCAUUGUCACAAAACCCUCUUCUCUGGACAGUCAUCGCUUCAUUCUUGCCCUGCCCCUCCCUUGGGCUGUCGUCAACAAGCAGCUGAGUGACCCUGUUGAGCUGAGAUGUCAGAUCAUCUCCUGGGGCCAGAGGCUCACAUGUAAAAGCCCUGAGCUGCCUUGAUGGUCCCUCCCCACCCCCUCUCCACACACCCUUUGCUGUUCACCUUCAGGCCAGCAUCCACCUUAGGGCUGUCGUCAUCCUCCUGCUCCUUGUUUUCACGCUCAUCCUCUCCUCUCUCUUGGGCUUUCACCCAGCUACCAUCCUUCAGGCUUUCCCUGCCCAGCCCAGCCCACAUGCCACUCUUCCCCAUCCCAUGCAAAUUCUGACAUCAGUUUUUGCUUUUUAAAUGUGUGGAUUGGUCUGACUCAUGCCAUUAGAACAGAAGCUCCAUGGAAGCAGGAUUUGGGUCUCUUUUCCUCCCCAUCCCCAGGUCUGCUCAGUGUCUGGGCCAUAGCAGGUGCUCCACAAAUAUUUGGUGAGGGAAUAAAGAGUGAACUCACCGUAGUACCUGAUGCAGAACGGUAUUUGAUAAAUAUUAGCCUUAUGAAAUUUUGUUUGCUUUUAUUUCAUAAAAUUCAGGAAUCUGUAGAGCAAGAAACAAAAAUAACCUAUAAUCCCACUUUUUGAUACCCCCUAUUGACAUUUUUAAAAAGAUAAAAAUAAUACAUGCAGACAGUUAGAAAAUCCUAUUAAGUAUCAAAAGGCACAAGAUGUAAAGAAAGAGGCUUCCACUGCAACUCCUGAAUACCUCUCCCCCCCAACCCCGGCAGCCCCACGAGGGUGUCAUUUCGUCUGGGGUGAGAUGGGCUCAUCCACUGGGGAGGGGGCGCAGGCAUGGCCAGGGAAGAAGCUGGAGACUGUUGGACUUCAAGGCCCCUUCAAGGAGAUUGGACUCAAAGCCUCUGGCCAAGACAAGAAUUAUCAGACCCUUAUCAUCUCCCACCUGUCUCAUUGUAAUGCCCCCUCCCCACCUUGAGCAACCUGGCUGCUCCUUCCUGUCCCCUCCUAGGAAAGGUUUGUGACCCAUUCCUCACCCUGCCCCUGUAGGGGCCUUAUACGCCCCCAACCAACUGCAAUUGUAGUGUAAGACUCCUCUUUCCCCAUCCAAUCGGCAGGUCAGCAGGUGUAUCCUGAGACCUCUCUUCUCUCUGGGCUAUAGAAGCAGACUUGACCAUGAACUCGAGUCGGCACUCCCUGAUUAUUAGGAAGUCUUCCCACUGCGCCAGCAGCAUCUUUCAUGUCAAUAAACUCUUCUUUCUCU
rnacentral:lncRNA from 1 species